UCGAGUGCCAGAGUUGAGAACCACUGGUGUAACCUAAUGUAUUUUGAUUGGUUCAGUAGUGUUAAAUAGUAUUUCUGACUUUAGAUGUUAUCGCAUGAAUCACAUUUUUAAGUUUUAAAAAGUGCAGCUCAUUUUUUCAGUGUGAAAAUUAAUAGUGAAUAAUAUACCAAAGGUGUGGCAAACGGUUUGUGGUUUAUAUUUGACCCUGCUGAUUCAGGCUGGCUUGCUGGUGCCACUCUCUUCAUUACAUUAAGAGGCUUGUGGAAACUAUUUUUAUCCAUCGCUUUUCUGACGGAACAUUACCUUUACGCACCAUCAUGCUGCUCUGUCUGUAUUACUGGGGAUUUGCAGCAUGGCAGGCAUAUUACAUCAACCAUCCGCUCUACACCCCACCAACUUAUGGGAGACUUCAGAUCUACUCUGCACUGGCAAUGUUUUUGGUCUGUGAGUUUGGAAAUUUCUCAGUUCAUCUGAUUUUGAAUCGAAUCAGCUGUAAUGGUGAGUCCUAAUAAAGAUUC